GCUGGGGGUUUGGCGGCUCCUGUAAUCCGGCUACUCGGAGGCUAGUUAUGUAGGAGGGUCUUGAGAUCACGGAUUUAACUGUUGAUGUUGGAUUCACGUUGACUGGGCGUCCGCACUAAGCUCGCCAUCAAUAUGGGCACCCUUGAGGAAUCUUGGGUGGCCAGGUUGGCUAAGGAGUGGCGAACCGGGCCAGAGGGGAAACCCAGCAGCCAAAAGUCUCCGUGGCGGGCAGUAGUGGGAUCGCGCCCGGGAGUGGACCGCAUCAGCAGCUUGGUCGAUAUGACUCGACACAUAACUUU
rfam:Dufourea novaeangliae contig3183, whole genome shotgun sequence.